CUCUCUCCCCCCCUCUCUCUCUCCUCUCUCCCCUCUCCUCCCUCUCCUCUCCUCUCCUCUCUCUCCCACUUGCUCUCGCUCUUUCUAUUUCCUUUUUACAUAUCUUUCUUUUUUCUGUGAGAAGCAUAAAGCAUUAUUAAACAAGGACCAAAACACAAAAGAAAUUAUUACAGAGAAAAUAUCCCAUUAUAAGCUGAGUGGUAGCUUCCCAGGUCACCUAUGAAUUGUCUAGCCUUUGUGUGCUACAUUAACAUGAAAUUAUCUGUCUCUAAUCCUACAUGCAGCACAAAGCACUAAUCUGUGUCAGCACCGUACAGAGUCCCUCUGGCCUGUGUCUGGUUAACCUCUGGCUUUGACACUGUAAUUCGCCUGGGUUCCCUUCCAGAGCUAAUUACUGAGUUUUGCAAAAGCAUCCAAUCUCCACUCCCCAAGAGGAAAGGGACCUUCCAUUAGUCUCUGCACAGAAACAGAUUGUCCAUGUCUGCCGUUGGAUUCCUCUCCUUAUUUCACCAAGCAUGACAGUGUGAAUACUUUUCACCCAGUUUCUUCAUGGGCAAUUGAAAAAGCACCAAAGACGUCACCAGCCAGAGCCUUGUCCUGGUUAAGCUGCGGCUGCCCUGGAGGGAAGCUGGGUACGCGGGAACACAGAAACUUGGGAAAUCAGUUUGCGUGAAUUUCCUGAAACCAACGCUGAGGCACAUAAUCCUUCCUGCCUGGGUGAAUUGGCUUAGCUCGCUGAUGAUUUUACAGCCCCAGAAGCCAUUCUCUGAGUUGCCAGAUAAUCUUAAACCACAGCCGGGACGGACGAGUGCCGUCAGAAGAGCACUUGGGGUACAAGCUAUUUUAAACAAGUGUGCGUUCCUGUGAGUGGAGGAUCCUUCUUCUGUCUGGACUCCUGGUAACACCUGUUGCUCACUCUUCAUGCCGCAGUCUACUUCCCCCCUAAACAGCAAUGCAGCCAAGACAAACCAUGGCCACCUAGAGACAUGGCCAUGUGAAUAGCAGAUCCAGGCUUCCCCUGCUCUGGCACAGCCUGGGGUCCCCUGAAGGCUCCAAUGCCGGGAGUCAAGGAGCCAUGUGCGAGCAGAGAGCGGAGCUGGCAAGGCAACACGGUGAACUUUCAGUGCGGCCAGUGAAAGGAGACUUCCGCCUGAGGGUAUCGCGGCUUUGAUUCUGCCCCACAGACCAGCUUAAAACGAGCAUACAAAACAGAUCCAAAUGGUAAAUGAGCAUAAGAACCAUGAGGGAGUUGGCCAAGUCUCGGAAGCUUACACCUGGCUUUCAACAAGUCCCAGGCUUAAACAGGACUGGAGGUCAGAUCUGAAAAGACGGAGGAAAGCCAGGAAGCAAAAGGGAGAGUCCUCAAAGGAAUCGGGUAACAGCUCCAUGAAGAAAAAAAAAAAAAAUGCCAAUAAAGAUACUGUGCAAUGCAA